ensembl:lncRNA
CUGCCCCAUGGCAUAUGGAGUUCCUGGGCCAGGUAUCAGAUCCAUGCCACAGACAUGACCUAAGCCACAGCUGUGAAAGCUUUUUCCUACUAUUAGAGAAUAUGAGUAAUUAACUUGUAUUUUCUUAAUUAUUCUUGUAGUUUGGUUUUUACAUUUAAGUUUAUGUUUUAUCCCUAACUGAUUUUAAUAUACGGAUAAGGCAGGGAUCAAGACCCAAGCUUACCCCUCAAAAAACCCAAGUAGUUGUGCCAAUACUAUAUAUUCAAUAGUCCGUCUUUUCUCCACUAGUUUGAAAUUCCACAUUUAUCACAUAUAAAACCCCAAUCUGCACUGGAUUACAUUGGUCUCUUACCAUAUUUUAAAAAUUACUAUUGAUUCAUAUUCUUACCUUGUAGAAGUAGUCUACUUUUCUUCACAAAAUUCCCCAAGCUAUUUUCCUAUGGUUUAUGUUUCCAGGUAAACUUUAGAAUCAUUUUGGCAUUCUAAAAUCAUCUAUUGAGAUUUUGCUUGUGACUGUAUUAACUUACAGAUUAAAUUUUAAAAAAUGACUUUAUAUGAUAUUGGAUCUUCUUAUCCAUAUGAGACAUAUUGGUAAGAUAUGUCUCCUUUCAGUUAGUCACAUUCCUAUAUCCCAGGGAUAUUUAGGAUUUUCUUCAUGAAAAUAGUUCCUGUUUCUUAUAAAGUAUAUUUAAUCAAUUUUGGUGGUUUUUUAGUUGCUGUUGUGAAAGGCAACAUACCAAGAUUAUUAUAUUUUCUAACCAUCUUUUAAAACAGGAGAGCCCUUGCUUUUCCCUCUCAAUUAGUUGUUCACUGACUCACUUUAUUAAAAUGAUAAUGUACACUGGUGCAUAAUAUUAAAAAAUAACACACAUAUACUCAUUUCCAGUGAUCUUUUCAUAAAAUUUGAUACAAAGCCACAGAUCCUAGACUGAAAUUAUUCAAAAAUUUGAACAGUAAAAAAUAUAUACAUAGGCAAAAAAUAUUAGAAAACAUGGAAUUCCCAUCAUGGCUCAGUGGAAAUGAAUCUGACUAGUAUCCAUGAGGAAUCAGGUUCAAUAUCUGGCCUCACCAAGUGGGUUAAGGAUCCUGUGUUGCUAUGAGCUGUGAUGUAGAUUGCAGACACAGCUCAGAUCCUGUGUUACAGUGGCUGUGGUAUAGGCCAGCAGCUACAGCUCUGAUUCAACCCCUAGCUUGGGAACUUCCAUGUGCCACAGGUGCAGCCCUAAAAAGACAAAAAUAUAUAUUAGAAAACAUGUAAAAUAUAUUGCUGGUAUAUUUUCAGGGUAUUGAUACCUACUGCCAUAAAACACAUAAUUUUAUGAUUGAGUGUGAAAACAUUUGUUACUAUUACUAAAAGUGAAAAUUUUCUGCAUUUUAUGAAAUCUAUAAACCUACAGGUCCAAGAAUUCUAAUGAAUCCCAGGUAAAAGAAACAAGAAGAAAAUUAUAUCAGGGUAUAUCAUAAUCAAACUGCUCAAAACCAGAAAUAAAGAAAAACUUAAAAGCAGUCAGAAGAAAAGACACAUUACAUACAGUGGAACAAUGAUAAGGUGAGAAGAUGACAGAACAACAUAUUUACAGUAUUGAAAGAAAAAACUCAACCUAUAAGUCUAUACAAAGCAAAACUAUCUUUCUGAAUCAAAAGUCAAUAAAGGCAUUUUUAGACAUACAUAAGCCAAGAGAAUUCAUCACUAG